CACGUAGUUAGCCGGCGCUUCUUAUCCAGCUACCGUCAACCCACCCACCAGGGGCAGGCCUGCUUCACUGGCGAAAGAGGUUCACAACUCGAAGGCCUCCAUCCCUCACGCGGCGUCGCUGCAUCAGGCUUGCGCCCAUUGUGCAAUAUUCCCCACUGCUGCCUCCCGUAGGAGUCUGGGCCGUGUCUCAGUCCCAGUGUGACCGUCCACCCUCUCAGGCCGGCUACCCGUCACCGCCUUGGUAGGCCAUCACCCCACCAACAAGCUGAUAGGCCGCGAGCCCAUCCCCCACAAAACACCCAAAGGCGCAUCUUUCCCACACCCACAUGCAGCAGGCGCAGAAUAUCCCGUAUUACGCCACACUUCAUCGCGGUUAUCCAGAAGGAAGGGGCAGGUUACUCGACGUGUUACUCUACCCGUUCGCCACGUCACGUCCACCAACCCCCAAAAGGACGCGCU
rnacentral:rRNA from 1 species